GGUUCGUUAGCUUAUUUGGUUAGAACGUCCUGCUAAUAACGCGAAAGUCACAAGUUUGAGACCUGGAUGGGCCA